GGUUAAGCGACUAAGCGUACACGGUGGAUGCCCUGGCAGUCAGAGGCGAUGAAGGACGUGCUAAUCUGCGAAAAGCGUCGGUAAGGUGAUAUGAACCGUUACAGCCGGCGAUGUCCGAAUGGGGAAACCCAGUGCAAUUCGUUGCACUAUCGUUAACUGAAUACAUAGGUUAACGAGGCGAACCGGGGGAACUGAAACAUCUAAGUACCCCGAGGAAAAGAAAUCAACCGAGAUUCCCCCAGUAGCGGCGAGCGAACGGGGAGCAGCCCAGAGUCUGAAUCAGCUUGUGUGUUAGUGGAACGGUCUGGAAAGUCCGACGGUACAGGGUGAUAGUCCCGUACACCAAAAUGCACAGGUUGUGAACUCGAAGAGUAGGGCGGGACACGUGGUAUCCUGUCUGAAUAUGGGGGGACCAUCCUCCAAGGCUAAAUACUCCUGACUGACCGAUAGUGAACCAGUACCGUGAGGGAAAGGCGAAAAGAACCCCGGCGAGGGGAGUGAAAAAGAACCUGAAACCGUGUACGUACAAGCAGUGGGAGCACCUUUAUGGUGUGACUGCGUACCUUUUGUAUAAUGGGUCAGCGACUUAUAUUCUGUAGCAAGGUUAACCGUAUAGGGGAGCCGCAGGGAAACCGAGUCUUAACUGGGCGUUAAGUUGCAGGGUAUAGACCCGAAACCCGGUGAUCUAGCCAUGGGCAGGUUGAAGGUUGGGUAACACUAACUGGAGGACCGAACCGACUAAUGUUGAAAAAUUAGCGGAUGACUUGUGGCUGGGGGUGAAAGGCCAAUCAAACCGGGAGAUAGCUGGUUCUCCCCGAAAGCUAUUUAGGUAGCGCCUCGUGAAUUCAUCUUCGGGGGUAGAGCACUGUUUCGGCUAGGGGGUCAUCCCGACUUACCAACCCGAUGCAAACUACGAAUACCGAAGAAUGUUAUCACGGGAGACACACGGCGGGUGCUAACGUCCGUCGUGAAGAGGGAAACAACCCAGACCGCCAGCUAAGGUCCCAAAGUCAUGGUUAAGUGGGAAACGAUGUGGGAAGGCACAGACAGCCAGGAUGUUGGCUUAGAAGCAGCCAUCAUUUAAAGAAAGCGUAAUAGCUCACUGGUCGAGUCGGCCUGCGCGGAAGAUGUAACGGGGCUAAACCAUGCACCGAAGCUGCGGCAGCGACACUAUGUGUUGUUGGGUAGGGGAGCGUUCUGUAAGCCUGCGAAGGUGGCCUGUGAGGGUUGCUGGAGGUAUCAGAAGUGCGAAUGCUGACAUAAGUAACGAUAAAGCGGGUGAAAAGCCCGCUCGCCGGAAGACCAAGGGUUCCUGUCCAACGUUAAUCGGGGCAGGGUGAGUCGACCCCUAAGGCGAGGCCGAAAGGCGUAGUCGAUGGGAAACAGGUUAAUAUUCCUGUACUUGGUGUUACUGCGAAGGGGGGACGGAGAAGGCUAUGUUAGCCGGGCGACGGUUGUCCCGGU
rnacentral:rRNA from 1 species